rnacentral:rRNA from 1 species
GAUGAACGCUGGCGGCGUGCUUAACACAUGCAAGUCGAACGAAGCACUUUAUUUGAUUUCCUUCGGGACUGAUUAUUUUGUGACUGAGUGGCGGACGGGUGAGUAACGCGUGGGUAACCUGCCUUGUACAGGGGGAUAACAGUUGGAAACGGCUGCUAAUACCGCAUAAGCGCACGGCAUCGCAUGCUGCAUUGUGAACAACUCGGGUGGUAUAAGAUGGACCCGCGUUGGAUUAGCUAGUUGGUGAGGUAACGGCCCACCAAGGCGACGCUGCAUAGCCGACAUGAGAGGGUGACCGGCCACAUUGGGACUGAGACACGGCCCAAACUCCUACGGGAGGGAGCAGUGGGGAAUAUUGCACAAUGGGCGAAAGCCUGAUGCAGCGACGCCGCGUGAGCGAAGAAGUAUUUCGGUAUGUAAAGCUCUAUCAGCAGGGAAGAUAAUGACGGUACCUGACUAAGAAGCACCGGCUAAAUACGUG